rnacentral:rRNA from 1 species
CCUACGGGGGGCUGCAGUGAGGAAUAUUGGUCAAUGGUCGGGAGACUGAACCAGCCAAGCCGCGUGAGGGAGGAAGGUACAGAGUAUCGUAAACCUCUUUUGUCAGGGAACAAAGGCGGGGACGUGUCCCCGGCUGAGUGUACCUGAAGAAAAAGCAUCGGCUAACUCCGUGCCAGCAGCCGCGGUAAUACGGAGGAUGCGAGCGUUAUCCGGAUUUAUUGGGUUUAAAGGGUGCGCGGGCGGUCUGUUAAGUCCGCGGUCAAAGCCCGGGGCUCAACCCCGGCCCGCCGUUGAAACUGGCAGUCUCGAGUUGGAGAGAAGUAUGCGGAAUGCGCGGUGUAGCGGUGAAAUGCAUAGAUAUCGCGCAGAACUCCGAUUGCGAAGGCAGCAUGCCGGCUCCACACUGACGCUGAGGCACGAAAGCGUGGGUAUCGAACAGGAUUAGAUACCCUUGUAGUC